CACAUGCAAGUCGAGCGGAGUGUGGUGCUUGCACAAUCACUUAGCGGCGGACGGGUGAGUAAUACUUAGGAAUCUGCCUAUUAGUGGGGGACAAGAUCUCGAAAGGGAUGCUUACCGCAUACGUCCUACGGGAGAAAGCAGGGGAUCUUUAUGACCUUGCGCUAAUAGAUAGCCUAAGUCGGAUUAGCUAGUUGCU
rnacentral:rRNA from 1 species